rnacentral:rRNA from 1 species
AGUGAACGCUGGCGGUAGGCCUAACACAUGCAAGUCGAACGGCAGCACAGUAAGAGCUUGCUCUUACGGGUGGCGAGUGGCGGACGGGUGAGGAAUACAUCGGAAUCUACUUUUUCGUGGGGGAUAACGUAGGGAAACUUACGCUAAUACCGCAUACGACCUACGGGUGAAAGCAGGGGUUCUUCGGACCUUGCGCGAUUGAAUGAGCCGAUGUCGGAUUAGCUAGUUGGCGGGGUAAAGGCCCACCAAGGCGACGAUCCGUAGCUGGUCUGAGAGGAUGAUCAGCCACACUGGAACUGAGACACGGUCCAGACUCCUACGGGAGGCAGCAGUGGGGAAUAUUGGACAAAGGGCGCAAGCCUGAUCCAGCCAUACCGCGUGGGUGAAGAAGGCCUUCGGGUUGUAAAGCCCUUUUGUUGGGAAAGAAAAGCAGCAGGUUAAUACCCCGCUGUUCUGACGGUACCCAAAGAAUAAGCACCGGCUAACUUCGUG